rnacentral:lncRNA from 1 species
UGAUUUUGAGAGAUAAUGAGCUUAUCUUGGUGUAUUAGGGAUUUAAUCCCAUGUUAAAGAGGAUAGAGGGGUAGGAAUUGCUACAUUUGCCAUUAAUAAGAUGGAAUAGGAAGCUGAAAAUUGGCCUGGGGCUAUCUGCAGGGCGGCGCCCUACCUAGAGCAUCGGAGUACCCUGGGCGGUGCCCUGCCUAGAGCACCAGAGUACCUUGGGCGGCGCCCUUCCUCGAGCGGUGCAAGGAACAGGGCGGUGCUCCACUUAGAGCGGGGGAGGGACCCAGGCGACACCCCACUAUCGCCUUUUGCUACUAGAAUGGCAUACCAAACAUACCCUUAAGCUCGUUUAAAAAUUAUGAAAC